UUGUAGCUCAGUAGGAGAACAUCUGCCUUGCCUGAAUAAGGACCCGGGUUCAAUCCCAGGCAUCACAA